rnacentral:lncRNA from 1 species
GCCACUAACCUGGAUUAAUCUCACACAACAGAGGAAUUCCGUCUUCCAAAAGGCAAAACUCAUGUUCAGGCCAGAACAUCAAAGAAACUAUAAGGCAUAAUUUCUGACACUGCAAAUUGGAGACAUUUCUGUUCCUGGGAAAAGUAAGAAAACAAGAAGACAGACUGGAAAAGAAAUGAUCCAGAAGUUACCCCAAAGAGACAAAGACAAGCGCUUACGCUCAGAGGGUGAAAGCUGUGGAGGAUGAAGUGAGAAAACCCAAUUGGAGUUUCAAAAAAAAGGGGUGCUGAACCUUGAUCCUCACUGUGGUACCUAGAAGGAAAUCCCAAGAAAGUGCGGUGGUUCCCUUAAGACUGUGACCUCCAGAA